CCUACGGGCGGCACCAGUGGGGAAUAUUGCACAAUGGGCGCAAGCCUGAUGCAGCCAUGCCGCGUGUAUGAAGAAGGCCUUCGGGUUGUAAAGUACUUUCAGCGGGGAGGAAGGUGUUGAGGUUAAUAACCUCAGCAAUCGACGUUACCCGCAGAAUGAAGCACCGGCUAACUCCGUGCCAGCAGCCGCGGUAAUACGGAGGGUGCAAGCGUUAAUCGGAAUUACUGGGCGUAAAGCGCACGCAGGCGGUCUGUCAAGUCGGAUGUGAAAUCACCGGGCUCAACCUGGGAACUGCAUACGAAACUGGCAGGCUAGAGUCUUGUAGAGGGGGGUAGAAUUCCAGGUGUAGCGGUGAAAUGCGUAGAGAUCUGGAGGAAUACCGGUGGCGAAGGCGGCCCCCUGGACGAAGACUGACGCUCAGGUGCGAAAGCGUGGGGAGCAAACAGGAUUAGAUACCCCGGUAGUC
rnacentral:rRNA from 1 species